AUCCUUUUGUGGUUCAUAAGCAUGGUAAUUGGGUGUUCACAUGCAUGCAUGACAUGUGCCACCCAAGAACCUUGUCAUGCACUGGUGCAUCACCCGUCUGACG